GUCAAUUUCCAUAUGAAAGCAGCUGAGAUCUCUUUCCCCAUUUUGGAAUUCCAGGCAACACCCUGGGCUCCGAUUUCUCAGACUCGAGGUUUUUGCCCAACUUUCCCCCACCCCCACCUCCCGACCCACCCCUAAUCUGCUCCUAUUCCCCUUUCUCUGGCUACCGGAUUUCCAGUUCUUCCAGCGCACUACUCUAGCCCAAGAAAGCAUCUGUGAACUCAGCUCCAGAACAACUGGCUUCAUGUUUCUCUGAGCUGAUGGUGGAUGGAUAGAACCCAUACUGCCUGCAUUGGAAGGUGAAGUCUUAACUAUUGGAUCACCAGGGAAAUCCCUCCUCCCUUGAUUUCUAACACUCACCAGCACCCUCUUUUUGUUAUGAGCGCUGCCAUUCAAGAUGAGGACAUCUUCCUGACCCAGAGAUUGAACCCACGUCUCCUGCGUUGGCAGGCAGAUGCUUUACCACUGAGCCAUCGAGGAAGACAAUUACUUUUAUGUUUUAUCACAAUUGUCAAAACCAUCCUAU
rnacentral:lncRNA from 1 species